rnacentral:rRNA from 1 species
AGAGUUUGAUCMAYUGGCUCAGGAUGAACGCUGGCGGCAUGCCUAAUACAUGCAAGUCGAACGAAGAGAAGUAAAAAGCUUGCUUUUUAUGGAACUUAGUGGCGAACGGGUGAGUAACACGUAGGUAACCUGCCCAUAUAACUGGGACAACCAUUGGAAACGAUGGCUAAAACCGGAUAGGUARCUGGGAGGCAUCUUCUAGUUAUUAAAGUAGCUAAGGCUAUGGAUAUGGAUGGACCUGCGGCGCAUUAGCUAGUUGGUGAGGUAACGGCUCACCAAGGCGAUGAUGCGUAGCCGACCUGAGAGGGCGAACGGCCACAUUGGGACUGAGACACGGCCCAAACUCCUACGGGAGGCAGCAGUAGGGAAUUUWCGUCAAUGGAGGGAACUCUGAACGAGCAAUGCCGCGUGUGUGAAGAAGGUCUUCGGAUUGUAAAGCACUGUUGUAAGAGAAAAACGGCACUAGGAGGGAAUGACUAGUGAGUGAUGGUAUCUUACGAGGAAGCCACGGCUAACUACGUGCCAGCAGCCGCGGUAAUACGUAGGUGGCAAGCGUUAUCCGGAAUGAUUGGGCGUAAAGGGUGCGCAGGCGGUUCAUUAAGUCUAAAGUAAAAGCCAGCAGCUCAACUGCUGUAAGCUUUGGAAACUGAUGAACUAGAGUACAGGAGAGGGCAGUGGAAUUCCAUGUGUAGCGGUAAAAUGCGUAGAUAUAUGGAGGAACACCAGUGGCRAAGGCGGCUGCCUGGCCUGGYAACUGACGCUGAGGCACGAAAGCGUGGGGAGCAAAUAGGAUUAGAUACCCUGGUAGU